CACGUAGGGCGCAAGCGUUGUCCGGAAUUAUUGGGCGUAAAGAGCUCGUAGGCGGUCUGUUGCGUCCGCUGUGAAAACUCGGGGCUUAACCCCGAGCCUGCAGUGGAUACGGGCAGACUAGAGGUAGGUAGGGGAGAAUGGAAUUCCCGGUGUAGCGGUGAAAUGCGCAGAUAUCGGAAGGAACACCAGUGGCGAAAGCGGCUUCCUGGUCCGACACCGACGUUCAGGCACGAAAGCGUGGGGAGCAAACAGG
rnacentral:rRNA from 1 species